AGUGAACGCUGGCGGUAGGCCUAACACAUGCAAGUCGAACGGCAGCACAGUAAGAGCUUGCUCUUACGGGUGGCGAGUGGCGGACGGGUGAGGAAUACAUCGGAAUCUACUUUUUCGUGGGGGAUAACGUAGGGAAACUUACGCUAAUACCGCAUACGACCUACGGGUGAAAGCAGGGGAUCUUCGGACCUUGCGCGAUUGAAUGAGCCGAUGUCGGAUUAGCUAGUUGGCGGGGUAAAGGCCCACCAAGGCGACGAUCCGUAGCUGGUCAGAGAGGAUGAUCAGCCACACUGGAACUGAGACACGGUCCAGACCCCUACGGGAGGCAGCAGUGGGGAAUAUUGGACAAUGGGCGCAAGCCUGAUCCAGCCAUACCGCGUGGGUGAAGAAGGCCUUCGUGUUGUAAAGCCCUUUUGUUGGGAAAGAAAAGCAGCAGGUUAAUACCCCGCUGUUCUGACGGUACCCAAAGAAUAAGCACCGGCUAACUUCGUG
rnacentral:rRNA from 1 species